rnacentral:tRNA from 1 species
GGGAUUAUGGCUCAGUGGUAGAGCGCUUGCCUAGCAUGUGUGAGGCCCUGGGUUCGAUUCUCAGCACCA